AAGUCGUAACAAGGUCUCCGUAGGUGAACCUGCGGAGGGAUCAUUACACAAAUAUGAAGGCGGGCUGGAACCUCUCGGGGUUACAGCCUUGCUGAAUUAUUCACCCUUGUCUUUUGCGUACUUCUUGUUUCCUUGGUGGGUUCGCCCACCACUAGGACAAACAUAAACCUUUUGUAAUUGCAAUCAGCGUCAGUAACAAAUUAAUAAUUACAACUUUCAACAACGGAUCUCUUGGUUCUGGCAUCGAUGAAGAACGCAGCGAAAUGCGAUAAGUAGUGUGAAUUGCAGAAUUCAGUGAAUCAUCGAAUCUUUGAACGCACAUUGCGCCCUUUGGUAUUCCAAAGGGCAUGCCUGUUCGAGCGUCAUUUGUACCCUCAAGCUUUGCUUGGUGUUGGGCGUCUUGUCCCUAGCUUUGCUGGAGACUCGCCUUAAAGUAAUUGGCAGCCGGCCUACUGGUUUCGGAGCGCAGCACAAGUCGCACUCUCUAUCAGCAAAGGUCUAGCAUCCAUUAAGCCUUUUUUUCAACUUUUGACCUCGGAUCAGGUAGGGAUACCCGCUGAACUUAAGCAUAUCA
rnacentral:rRNA from 1 species